GGCAGUGUGGCUCAGUGGAAAGAGACUGGGCUUGGGAGUCAGAGGUCAUGGGUUCGAAUCCCGGCUCUGCCA
rfam:Ornithorhynchus anatinus chromosome 2, whole genome shotgun sequence.